rnacentral:rRNA from 1 species
AUUGAACGCUGGCGGCAGGCCUAACACAUGCAAGUCGAGCGGAUGAAGGGAGCUUGCUCCUGGAUUCAGCGGCGGACGGGUGAGUAAUGCCUAGGAAUCUGCCUGGUAGUGGGGGAUAACGUCCGGAAACGGGCGCUAAUACCGCAUACGUCCUGAGGGAGAAAGUGGGGGAUCUUCGGACCUCACGCUAUCAGAUGAGCCUAGGUCGGAUUAGCUAGUUGGUGGGGUAAAGGCCUACCAAGGCGACGAUCCGUAACUGGUCUGAGAGGAUGAUCAGUCACACGGGAACUGAGACACGGUCCAGACUCCUACGGGAGGCAGCGGUGGGGAAUUUUGGACAAUGGGCGAAGGCCUGAUCCAGCCAUGCGGCGUGUGUGAAGAAGGUCUUCGGAUGUUAAAGCACGUUAAGUUGGGAGGAAGGGCAGUAAGUUAAUACCUUGCUGUUUUGACGUUACCAACAGAAUAAGCACCGGCUAACUUCGUG